rnacentral:misc_RNA from 1 species
GUCUUCUUUGCCUAAUCCAGCUGUUCCUGACAAGGAGAAUGCUGGUGCUACUUGGAUAAAACAAUUGAAUGUUCACUCGAGGAAAUCGAUCCCGAAAUUGUAGACAUCAUCGAACUCGAGAAAGCAAGGCAAUGAAAGUUACAUUGACGUGGCUGAGACCUUAUGUCAGAAGCGUGCAUUAGAAGCUUUUCAAUUGGAUUAUGAAAACUGGGGAGGAAAAUGAGCCAUCUUAUGAAUAUGCUAAAGUUUUAUUUAUUUAUUUUCACUGGAACCACAAAAUUUAUUAGCAUAGAUGAGGAUUUUGAGAUUAAGGGGUGUCA